GGCCAUGAGAACAAAUCUCAGUGAAUGUUUUUUUUUUUUUUUGAUCAAAUCAGUGAAUGUUUUUUGUUAUAAAAUAUUAGAUGGGGAAAUGAACUGGUGCUUAGUUGGAAAACACAAAUCUUACAGGAGGGAAAGUCCAAGGAGAAGAAGAAAAAAAGGCAGAGUUAACAGCCACCACAAGAUAUUGAUUUUAAUACUGAAAUAAAUCCUUCCUUGCACUUAUCUUCUUUUUCAAACUAAAAUCAAGAGACCUUUUUUUUAACACCAAAAUCA
rnacentral:lncRNA from 1 species